rnacentral:rRNA from 1 species
GACGAACCUUGGCGGCGUGCUUAACACAUGCAAGUCGAACGGAAAGGCCCUGCUUUUGUGGGGUGCUCGAGUGGCGAACGGGUGAGUAACACGUGAGUAACCUGCCCUUGACUUUGGGAUAACUUCAGGAAACUGGGGCUAAUACCGGAUAGGAGCUCCUGCUGCAUGGUGGGGGUUGGAAAGUUUCGGCGGUUGGGGAUGGACUCGCGGCUUAUCAGCUUGUUGGUGGGGUAGUGGCUUACCAAGGCUUUGACGGGUAGCCGGCCUGAGAGGGUGACCGGCCACAUUGGGACUGAGAUACGGCCCAGACUCCUACGGGAGGCAGCAGUGGGGAAUAUUGCACAAUGGGCGGAAGCCUGAUGCAGCAACGCCGCGUGCGGGAUGACGGCCUUCGGGUUGUAAACCGCUUUCGCCUGUGACGAAGCGUGAGUGACGGUAAUGGGUAAAGAAGCACCGGCUAACUACGUGCCAGCAGCCGCGGUGAUACGUAGGGUGCGAGCGUUGUCCGGAUUUAUUGGGCGUAGAGGGCUCGUAGGUGGUUGAUCGCGUCGGAAGUGUAAUCUUGGGGCUUAACCCUGAGCGUGCUUUCGAUACGGGUUGACUUGAGGAAGGUAGGGGAGAAUGGAAAUCCUGGUGGAGCGGUGGAAUGCGCAGAUAUCAGGAGGAACACCAGUGGCGAAGGCGGUUCUCUGGGCCUUUUCUGACGCUGAGGAGCGAAAGCGUGGGGAGCGAACAGGCUAGAUACCCUGGUAGUCCACGCUGUAAACGGUGGGUACUAGGUGUGGGGUCCAUUCCACGGGUUCCGUGCCGUAGCUAACGCUUUAAGUACCCCGCCUGGGGAGUACGGCCGCAAGGCUAAAACUCAAAGGAAUUGACGGGGCCCCGCACAAGCGGCGGAGCAUGCGGAUUAAUUCGAUGCAACGCGUAGAACCUUACCUGGGUUUGACAUGGAUCGGGAGUGCUCAGAGAUGGGUGUGCCUCUUUUGGGGUCGGUUCACAGGUGGUGCAUGGCUGUCGUCAGCUCGUGUCGUGAGAUGUUGGGUUAAGUCCCGCAACGAGCGCAACCCUUGUUCACUGUUGCCAGCACGUUAUGGUGGGGACUCAGUGGAGACCGCCGGGGUCAACUCGGAGGAAGGUGGGGAUGACGUCAAGUCAUCAUGCCCCUUAUGUCCAGGGCUUCACGCAUGCUACAAUGGCUGGUACAGAGAGUGGCGAGCCUGUGAGGGUGAGCGAAUCUCGGAAAGCCGGUCUCAGUUCGGAUUGGGGUCUGCAACUCGACCUCAUGAAGUCGGAGUCGCUAGUAAUCGCAGAUCAGCAACGCUGCGGUGAAUACGUUCCCGGGGCU